AGCGCUUGUAACGCCGACAGAGAGGGUGGUGCCGACGAGAGUUAAAGCAUAGUAUCUGUUGUCAGCUUACUAUCUGAUUGCGGUUCUAUUUGGAUCCAAGGAACCAAACCUAUUUUUGCAAGUUGACGGAGUGUUUGAAGCCUGCUUUACCUCCGCGGCGGGUCGGCCCGUUAUUGCACUACUGGGAGCAGCCCACGUUUC